rfam:Serratia symbiotica genome assembly, type strain CWBI-2.3T, contig: SYMBAF_Contig_2
AUUCUAAUUUGGCAGGGGAUGCCAGAUAAUACCCCGCCAAUGUGCCAUCGGGAAAUCAGGAGAGUUUAUGUAU